AGAGUUUGAUCCUGGCUCAGGAUGAACGCUAGCGGCAGGCCUAACACAUGCAAGUCGAGGGGCAGCAUAAAGUAAACUUGUUUACUUGGUGGCGACCGGCGCACGGGUGCGUAACGCGUAUGCAACCUACCCUGUACUGGGGGAUAGCCCGAAGAAAUUCGGAUUAAUACCCCAUAGUAUAAUUUGAUCACCUGGUUAGAUUAUUAAAGGUUACGGUACAGGAUGGGCAUGCGUCCCAUUAGCUAGAUGGUGAGGUAACGGCUCACCAUGGCAACGAUGGGUAGGGGGCCUGAGAGGGUGAUCCCCCACACUGGUACUGAGACACGGACCAGACUCCUACGGGAGGCAGCAGUAAGGAAUAUUGGUCAAUGGAGGCAACUCUGAACCAGCCAUGCCGCGUGCAGGAAGACGGCCCUAUGGGUUGUAAACUGCUUUUAUACGGGAAUAAACCUCUCUACGUGUAGGGAGUUGAAUGUACUGUAAGAAUAAGGAUCGGCUAACUCCGUGCCAGCAGCCGCGGUAAUACGGAGGAUCCGAGCGUUAUCCGGAUUUAUUGGGUUUAAAGGGUGCGUAGGCGGCUCAUUAAGUCAGGGGUGAAAGACGGCAGCUCAACUGUCGCAGUGCCUUUGAUACUGAUGAGCUUGAAUGUGGUUGAAGAUGGCGGAAUGAGACAAGUAGCGGUGAAAUGCAUAGAUAUGUCUCAGAACUCCGAUUGCGNNNNNNNNNNAAGCGUUAUCCGGAUUUAUUGGGUUUAAAGGGUGCGUAGGCGGCCUAUUAAGUCAGGGGUGAAAGACGGUGGCUCAACCAUCGCAGUGCCCUUGAUACUGAUGGGCUUGAUUACACUUGAGGUAGGCGGAAUGUGACAAGUAGCGGUGAAAUGCAUAGAUAUGUCACAGAACACCAAUUGCGAAGGCAGCUUACUAAGGUGUCAAUGACGCUGAGGCACGAAAGCGUGGGGAUCAAACAGGAUUAGAUACCCUGGUAGUCCACGCCCUAAACGAUGAUAACUCGAUGUUGGCGAUACACAGUCAGCGUCUUAGCGAAAGCGUUAAGUUAUCCACCUGGGGAGUACGCCCGCAAGGGUGAAACUCAAAGGAAUUGACGGGNNNNNNNNNNAUACUCGAUGUUAGCGAUAUACAGUUAGCGUCAAAGCGAAAGCGUUAAGUAUUCCACCUGGGGAGUACGCCCGCAAGGGUGAAACUCAAAGGAAUUGACGGGGGCCCGCACAAGCGGAGGAGCAUGUGGUUUAAUUCGAUGAUACGCGAGGAACCUUACCCGGGCUUGAAAGUUACUGAAUAACUCAGAGAUGAGUUAGUCCGCAAGGACAGGAAACUAGGUGCUGCAUGGCUGUCGUCAGCU
rnacentral:rRNA from 1 species